rnacentral:lncRNA from 1 species
GAUCCUUACCAAGGCAGUGAUGGUAUAUGCCUUCUCUCAAAAUAUGUAGUAUUUGUGGUAUAAGGCAUAGUGACAUUGCCUUCUCUCUCACUCGACUCUAAUAAGGCUUUGAUAUCUGGAGCUCAUAGGUGGGAGAUAAAGUAUACAUACUUACAAGACAUUUAUUGUUUAGUCAAAUAAUGGAUCCAAAGAAACAAGUCAAUAAGUCAAAUCAAGAUGUGCAUGUGUGGCGAAUGAAUGGUAUAUGGUGAUGAUGGUGAUAACAAUGGUAAAAGUCUAAUUCUACUUUUGCUCUUUUGAGGGGAUACAUACCUUUCUUGCUCUUUUGAAACUUGAGGAAAAUGAGAUGCUCUAUAUUUUCUUUUUCUUUCCUCUCAGGUGGGUAUCUUGUACCCCUAAUUCUACUGUCGGACACUUGUCCAUUUUUACCUUUUGUCUCACUUUUUCUUUUCUUUCGAGGUUCCGGGCACUUGCCCCUUUUCAUUUCCUCGUAUCUUUUUUUUAGAGCACUCAUCUCCUGAAAUAAUAUAGCAAGUGGUAGUAACCAAGAUAACUUGUGCAUUUAUUUCACAGGGGAAAACAGAAAUAUUUUUGGUUAUCCUCUCCCGGAUUAGGAGUUGAAUAUUUUUGGUUGGUUGUGGAGAUGGAAAUGGGUGGAUAUAUGUAGAUGCGUACUUCCGGAGUGGAAGCAGUAUGUGUGAAUGAACGUGCAAGUGAAUCUUGAUUUAACCACAUGACAAGCUCCUAAGGGUCUGCACAGCUUGACCACACUCAAUGCUCAUAAGCAGUAAAAAGUAAAUGUGUGGCUCAAAGUCUAGCAAGCAUGUAUAUAUGGCUGUGGUAGGAAUUUAAACUCUCAUCCUACAGGAACUCAUCAUGUGAUAUUUAAAAGAUUUUAAAAGAUAAAAUUCUCCAAAAUUCUAGCAUCUCUAGGAACAGAUAAACAGCGGCUCAACCUUCCCAUAUCAUAUUCGUUAACAACUU